UGGCCUGCGUAGUGUUGUGAAAUUUAGCCAC
rnacentral:piRNA from 1 species